rnacentral:SRP_RNA from 1 species
GCCGGGCGUGGUGGCUCACGCCUGUAAUCCCAGUACUUUGGGAGGCUGAGGUAGGUGGGUCACCUGAGGUCAGGAGUUCAAGACCAGCCUGACCAACAUGGAGAAACCCCGUCUCUA